UACGAAGGGGGCUAGCGUUGCUCGGAAUCACUGGGCGUAAAGCGCGCGUAGGCGGCCCGGUAAGUCCGUUGUGAAAGUCAAAGGCUCAACCUUUGAACGCCGAUGGAUACUGCCGGGCUAGAGUCCGGAAGAGGCGAGUGGAAUUCCUGGUGUAGCGGUGGAAUGCGCAGAUAUCAGGAGGAACACCAAUAGCGAAGGCAGCUCGCUGGGACGGUACUGACGCUGAGGCGCGAAAGCGUGGGGAGCAAACAGG
rnacentral:rRNA from 1 species